UACGUAGGUGGCAGGCGUUGUCCGGAUUUACUGGGCGUAAAGAGCGCGCAGGCGGUCGUUCAAGUCGCGUGUGAAAGCCCCCCGGCUCAACUGGGGAGGGUCACGCGAUACUGAUCGACUCGAAGGCAGGAGAGGGAAGUGGAAUUCCCGGUGUAGUGGUGAAAUGCGUAGAUAUCGGGAGGAACACCAGUGGCGAAGGCGACUUCCUGGCCUGUUCUUGACGCUGAGGCGCGAAAGCUAGGGGAGCAAACGGG
rnacentral:rRNA from 1 species